GAGACGUUUACAGUUUAAUCUUUAAAAAGUCGUACAGUGCAUCGUUUGGAGAGACAUCCUAUCACAGCUUGAUGGUCUCUGAAUAUAAACACAACACUAACUGCUUAAAUGGGUAAAUUACGUUCAAAAGUCUUGGCCGUGUAUGGAGAAAGAGAGAGAACGACAGAAAGAGGCAGAGUUCGUAAGGCCCCAAGAGAAAAAGAGAAAUAUCCAAGGCCGGCGAUUGUUCGUUCCCUGACCAGACUUAGACCAUCGUAAUAGCAAGCACAGAAAGAAACUGCUAGGCCAUAUAUCAACCACUUGAAUCGUCGGAACCGGCACCAAAAUGAAGUGGAAUCUUUCUACAAUCUAGAGUAUCUAAUUUAAUCAAAGCAAAUUGUUCGGUUAGGGUUUGUUGGAACCACAAGCACAGAGAGACAUGCUAUUUAGCUGUAACCGGUAUGCAAAAAGAUCCUCAAUGGCUUGGUUGCUUACAACAUUAGACCCAUAAAGACUUUUAACAGAGAAAGCAUGAAGUCCAUAAACAAAGGAUUAAACUAUUUGACUUUUGGCUUAUUUUAAGAUUAUAAAUGUUAUUUUGAGCUAUGAAUCUAUAUUUUUAUGAUGUUAUGAAGAAAGGUUUCUGUUUUUCUUCUGCUGUAAGUUUAAUUUUUUCCCGUUAUUCAAAUUAUGUUAAUAUAUAUUAUUAUGAUGGAGUAUUA